UAGGGAAUAUUGCAAAAUGGGCGAAAGCCCGAUGCAGCAACGCCGCGUGGGCGGUGAAGGCCUUCGGGUCGUAAAGCCCUUUUUGAGGGGAUGAGGAAGGACAGUACCCUCAGAAUAAGCCUCGGCUAACUACGUGCCAGCAGCCGCGGUAAAACGUAGGAGGCGAGCGUUAUCCGGAUUUACUGGGCGUAAAGCGCGUGCAGGCGGAUUGGAGAGUUGGAUGUGAAAGCUCCCGGCUUAACUGGGAGAGGUCGUUCAAUACUUCCAGUCUUGAGUGCAGUAGAGGGAAGUGGAAUUCCGGGUGUAGUGGUGAAAUGCGUAGAUAUCCGGAGGAACACCAGUGGCGAAAGCGGCUUCCUGGACUGUAACUGACGCUCAGACGCGAAAGCUAGGGUAGCAAACG
rnacentral:rRNA from 1 species